CGCGUAGGUGGUAGUGUAAGUCUGAGGUGGAAUCCCAGGGCUUAACCCUGGAACUGCCUUGGAAACUGCAUUACUUGAGUCAGUGAGGGGAGGGUAGAAUUCCUGGUGUAGCGGUGAAAUGCGUAGAUAUCAGGAGGAAGGCCUGUGGCGAAGGCGGCCCUCUGGUGCUGGACUGACACUGAGGCGCGAAGGCGUGGGGAGCAAACAGGAUUAGAUACCCUGGUAGUCCACGCCCUAAACGGUGGGCACUAGGUGUAGGGCUCGUAAGGGUUCUGUGCCGAAGGGAAACCAUUAAGUGCCCCGCCUGGGGAGUACGGCCGCAAGGUUGAA
rnacentral:rRNA from 1 species